GUGCUCACUUUGGUAAGCACAAAUACUAAAGCUGGAACUAUACAGAGAAGAUUAGCAUGGCCUCUGUGCAAGGGAUAGCACGCAAAUUCGUGAAGCAUUCCAUAUUUUU